rnacentral:rRNA from 1 species
UAACGGCCCAACAAGCCAGUAAUCGGUACGGGUUGUGGGAGCAAGAGCCCGGAGUUGGAUUCUGAGACACGAAUCCAGGCCCUACGGGGCGCAGCAGGCGCGAAAACUUUACAAUGCGGGCAACCGUGAUAAGGGAACCUCGAGUGCCUGUAUAUGCAGGCUGUCCAGGUGUCUAAAACACACCUGAAGAAAGGGCCGGGCAAGACCGGUGCCAGCCGCCGCGGUAAUACCGGCGGCUCGAGUGGUGGCCACUUUUAUUGGGCUUAAAGCGUUCGUAGCUGGGUUGCUAAGUCUCUUGGGAAAUCCGACGGCUCAACCGUCGGGCGUCUAAGAGAUACUGGUAAUCUUGGAACCGGGAGAGGUGAGGGGUACUUCGGGGGUAGGAGUGAAAUCCUGUAAUCCUCGAGGGACCACCUGUGGCGAAGGCGCCUCACCAGAACGGCUUCGACAGUGAGGGACGAAAGCUGGGGGAGCAAACCGGAUUAGAUACCCGGGUAGUCCCAGCCGUAAACGAUGCGCGUUAGGUGUAUCGACGACCACGAGUCGUCGAGGUGCCGAAGGGAAACCGUGAAACGUGCCGCCUGGGAAGUACGGUCGCAAGGCUGAAACUUAAAGGAAUUGGCGGGGGAGCACCACAACAGGUGGAGCCUGCGGUUUAAUUGGACUCAACGCCGGAAAUCUCACCGGAUAAGACAGCGGAAUGAUUGCCGGGCUGAAGACUCUGCAUGACUAGCUGAGAGGAGGUGCAUGGCCGUCGUCAGUUCGUACUGUGAAGCAUCCUGUUAAGUCAGGCAACGAGCGAGACCCACGCCAACAGUUGCCAGCAUGGCCUCCGGGCUGAUGGGGACACUGUUGGGACCGCCUCUGCUAAAGAGGAGGAAGGAAUGGGCAACGGUAGGUCAGCAUGCCCCGAAUUAUCCGGGCUACACGCGGGCUACAAUGGGCAGGACAAUGGGCAUCGACACCGAAAGGUGGAGGCAAUCUCCUAAACCUGUCCGUAGUUCGGAUUGUGGGCUGUAACUCGCCCACAUGAAGCUGGAAUCUGUAGUAAUCG